GACGAACGCUGGCGGCGUGCUUAACACAUGCAAGUCGAACGGAAAGGCCCUGCUUUCGUGGGGUGCUCGAGUGGCGAACGGGUGAGUAACACGUGAGUAACCUGCCCUUGACUUUGGUAUAACUUCAGGAAACUGGGGCUAAUACCGUAUAGGAGCUCCUGCUGCAUGGUGGGGGGUGGAAAGUUUGGGCGGGUGGGGAUGGACGCGCGGCUUAUCAGCUUGUUGGUGGGGUAGGGGCUUACCAAGGCUUUGACGGGUAGCCGGCCUGGGAGGGGGGACGGCCACAUUGGGACUGAGAGACGGCCCAGACUCCUACGGGAGGCAGCAGUGGGGAAUAUUGCACAAUGGGCGGAAGCCUGAUGCAGCAACGCCGCGGGCGGGAUGACGGCCUUCGGGUUGUAAACCGCUUUCGCCUGUGACGAAGCGUGAGUGACGGUAAUGGGUAAAGAAGCACCGGCUAACUACGUG
rnacentral:rRNA from 1 species